rnacentral:rRNA from 1 species
UUGAAGAGUUUGAUCAUGGCUCAGAUUGAACGCUGGCGGCAGGCCUAACACAUGCAAGUCGAACGGUAACAGGAAGAAGCCUGCUUCUUUGCUGACGAGUGGCGGACGGGUGAGUAAUGUCUGGGAAGCUGCCUGAUGGAGGGGGAUAACUACUGGAAACGGUAGCUAAUACCGCAUAACGUCGCAAGACCAAAGAGGGGGACCUUCGGGCCUCUUGCCAUCGGAUGUGCCCAGAUGGGAUUAGCUAGUAGGUGGGGUAACGGCUCACCUAGGCGACGAUCCCUAGCUGGUCUGAGAGGAUGACCAGCCACACUGGAACUGAGACACGGUCCAGACUCCUACGGGAGGCAGCAGUGGGGAAUAUUGCACAAUGGGCGCAAGCCUGAUGCAGCCAUGCCGCGUGUAUGAAGAAGGCCUUCGGGUUGUAAAGUACUUUCAGCGGGGAGGAAGGGAGUAAAGUUAAUACCUUUGCUCAUUGACGUUACCCGCAGAAGAAGCACCGGCUAACUCCGUGCCAGCAGCCGCGGUAAUACGGAGGGUGCAAGCGUUAAUCGGAAUUACUGGGCGUAAAGCGCACGCAGGCGGUUUGUUAAGUCAGAUGUGAAAUCCCCGGGCUCAACCUGGGAACUGCAUCUGAUACUGGCAAGCUUGAGUCUCGUAGAGGGGGGUAGAAUUCCAGGUGUAGCGGUGAAAUGCGUAGAGAUCUGGAGGAAUACCGGUGGCGAAGGCGGCCCCCUGGACGAAGACUGACGCUCAGGUGCGAAAGCGUGGGGAGCAAACAGGAUUAGAUACCCUGGUAGUCCACGCCGUAAACGAUGUCGACUUGGAGGUUGUGCCCUUGAGGCGUGGCUUCCGGAGCUAACGCGUUAAGUCGACCGCCUGGGGAGUACGGCCGCAAGGUUAAAACUCAAAUGAAUUGACGGGGGCCCGCACAAGCGGUGGAGCAUGUGGUUUAAUUCGAUGCAACGCGAAGAACCUUACCUGGUCUUGACAUCCACGGAAGUUUUCAGAGAUGAGAAUGUGCCUUCGGGAACCGUGAGACAGGUGCUGCAUGGCUGUCGUCAGCUCGUGUUGUGAAAUGUUGGGUUAAGUCCCGCAACGAGCGCAACCCUUAUCCUUUGUUGCCAGCGGUCCGGCCGGGAACUCAAAGGAGACUGCCAGUGAUAAACUGGAGGAAGGUGGGGAUGACGUCAAGUCAUCAUGGCCCUUACGACCAGGGCUACACACGUGCUACAAUGGCGCAUACAAAGAGAAGCGACCUCGCGAGAGCAAGCGGACCUCAUAAAGUGCGUCGUAGUCCGGAUUGGAGUCUGCAACUCGACUCCAUGAAGUCGGAAUCGCUAGUAAUCGUGGAUCAGAAUGCCACGGUGAAUACGUUCCCGGGCCUUGUACACACCGCCCGUCACACCAUGGGAGUGGGUUGCAAAAGAAGUAGGUAGCUUAACCUUCGGGAGGGCGCUUACCACUUUGUGAUUCAUGACUGGGGUGAAGUCGUAACAAGGUAACCGUAGGGGAACCUGCGGUUGGAUCACCUCCUU